AGAGUUUGAUCAUGGCUCAGGACGAACGCUGGCGGCGUGCCUAAUACAUGCAAGUCGAGCGGACUUGUUCUUUCGGGAAUAGGUUAGCGGCGGACGGGUGAGUAACACGUAGGUAACCUGCCUGUAAGACUGGGAUAACUACCGGAAACGGUAGCUAAGACCGGAUAACUGGCACUCUCGCAUGAGGGAGUCAUGAAACACGGUGCAAGCUGUGACUUACAGAUGGGCCUGCGGCGCAUUAGCUAGUUGGUGAGGUAAAGGCUCACCAAGGCGACGAUGCGUAGCCGACCUGAGAGGGUGAACGGCCACACUGGGACUGAGACACGGCCCAGACUCCUACGGGAGGCAGCAGUAGGGAAUCUUCCGCAAUGGGCGCAAGCCUGACGGAGCAACGCCGCGUGAGUGAUGAAGGUUUUCGGAUCGUAAAGCUCUGUUGCCAAGGAAGAAAUGCUAAGGGAGUAACUGCCCUGAGCUUGACGGUACUUGAGAAGAAAGCCCCGGCUAACUACGUGCCAGCAGCCGCGGUAAUACGUAGGGGGCAAGCGUUGUCCGGAAUUAUUGGGCGUAAAGCGCGCGCAGGCGGUUUUUUAAGUCUGGUGUAUAAUCCACGGGCUCAACCCGUGUUGGCACCGGAAACUGGGAGACUGGAGUGUAGGAGAGGAAAGUGGAAUUCCACGUGUAGCGGUGAAAUGCGUAGAGAUGUGGAGGAACACCAGUGGCGAAGGCGACUUUCUGGCCUAUAACUGACGCUGAGGCGCGAAAGCGUGGGGAGCAAACAGGAUUAGAUACCCUAGUAGUCC
rnacentral:rRNA from 1 species